ensembl:lncRNA
ACCUGACCAGAAGGGGCAGUCCAUCAUCCCAUCCCACCUCCCCAUCUCAUUUAAGAGCUACCCUCUGAAGGGAGAGCACCUCCUGCAUAAAGGCUGCUCUCUGAGAAGGACUGUUCUACAGCUGGAGACCCCAACACCAGCUGAGUGAGAGUGCUGAUGCCUAUUCUGCCCAGGAAUCAGUCGGUAUUACUGUAAAACUUCCCGUCACCAAGCUCUGCUUUGAUGGAUGACCAAAGUAGCUGCUAUUCUAUUCAAAGCCUACCUGCUUGAUGAUUCCCUGCAAGACAAGGCCCAGCAGCUCCAAGGUUCCUCUGGAAGGUCAGCUUUAUACAGACAGCAAGGCGAGCACCUCCUGUGUCAGUGCCUGAGCUCCCAUCACUGUCAGCUGUGUGGAAGCCAUUACACACAGGCAGUGCUGCAGUUUCCAUGGGCAGCAAUGUGCACUGAGCUCGCAGCCGACAGACGCACCCGGAGCCAUCUGUGCCGAGCGGUUUGUGUGCAGAGCACGGCUAUCUUCUGUUUGCUACCUUCAGCAAUGAGACGGCGCGAUGCAGGAACAAUCAGAGGGAAAUGUUUCUGUCAUCUUCACUGGUACCCUCAGCUCCGCGGCCUCCUGAAUGUGAAUUAGCGUCUGAAGCAGUUUAUUCAUUCAUGGCAAUCUGUUCAUUUAUUUUCAAGAGAUUGUGGAGCUCCAGGAAGCCUCAUCUGAUUUCUCUUUUCCUCCCUAAGCUCUGACUGCAAAAUAUACUUUAUUUUUCUCAGAUCAUUGCUGCUUCCGCUCUGCUGGGCUGAGGUGCCAGAGAGUCCUGGGCUCAGAAAUGGAGAAGAGGAACGCUUAGGAUUGAUGCUUGGACUUGGAGAUCCUCGAGGUCUUUCCCAACCUUGAUGACAGUAAGCAAAGAGCACCACAGCCACAAGGGUCACCAGUGCUCAGCCCGGGGCUGAUGGGGAGCUGAGGGCAGGAUGCAGCGAGCUCUGUACCUGAGGGAGGGAUGGGGAACCUCAUCCUUGGGAAGAGGCUGUGAUGUGAACACCAAUGAGGAUCUCUUGGGAAAAGAAGCUUCCUGAGAAGUUCCCAGUGCCUCCUGAUCUUCACAGCAGAGAAACUGUUUACUUUCUGCAGUCAGAACUGGAUCACAGCCCCAUUCACUGAAAAAUUUUGCUCUGAAAAGCAAAAAGCACCAAGCAGUGGAAAACUUUCCAAACCACAAAUAAAUGUUUAUUUCACAGUGCGAACAUCACCCAAGUGUUUCUGGAGUUCUGGAAAAGAACUCUCAUUAGCACAAAUGUGAAAAGGCACCACAAAUGAAUGGCAGGGCAGCAGAAUUACAUUCCAGGCAUACUUGAGAGUAGCAUAACAUUUGUCUUUGUGCAGGAAGCCAGAGCAGAGCUCGCCAACAUCCGAGUUUCAGCAGAAUCCCAUUGUACAGCAUUAGCAGGGUGAAGUGGUGCAGCAGCACAGUGCCUGCCUUGUGCAAACCAACCUAUUCCUUCCCCAUUAUUUUGGCCCUCAUGCCAUAGACUUUGCACAGCAAAAACCCUCAUUAAAUCUGUCCUUGUCUUUUGCUCUAUUUCUUUUUAAAUCCUCCUUGCUGGAGCUCAGAGGGGUUGCACAGCACCAUGGGAAACACAUCAUAGGUUGGUUUGUCCAGCACUAAAUGUGAGUGCUACAGAGCAGAGCUCUGGCAGGAGGCUCAGCUGUGUUGCUUUUGAAAGCAGCGUCCUCUGUGGUCAUCUAAUACUGCAGCAGAGGCCUCCAAAGCAGAUCACUCUGUUUCCAAAAUGCAAGGUGUUAUUUGUACAGAUAAGACAGUUCUACAGCUUUCUUCCUCUCCUGUGACUUUAUUAACAGGCAGACAGUAUGCAAAUGAGCAGGAGCAUUUAACAUAAUAUUUUCGAACAGACAUUUCAGGUCUAGCUUACACUGUUUGAUCCAUUAAUCACACAGAGCUCUGAGUUCAGAAAUAACAAUAAAAAAAAGCCUAUGUAGUUACAGGUUUCUAGGGUAAAUUGGUUUUCAUAAUGGCUUUACCCAUUUCCGCCCUGUUUUCCUGAGACCAGUGUGGCCAACUAUUAUUUUCCACUGUCUCUUCCAUCCAGUAAUUCUAGCAGACCAACCUGGAUAUUCCCCACGACUCCAAAGUGUUCUCGAUGGAUUUUUAGAAGUGCUUUUGAUUUCACAGUUACUGAAGAAAAUAUGAAGGUCUGAUGAAAAUACCCACAUUUAUUUGCAAGCCCAGGAACUUCCAAUUUGUUGCUGUCAAGGAUUAGCUUUCUGUGGAAAAAAAAAAGAGUUGCUACCCUAUGACAUAUCAGACAGAUUAUAGCACCAUUCUGUAUUGCCCACAGCAUGGAGAGCCUGUAUUAAAUUGCCAAAUUUAUCAGCU